UAGCUCAGUUGGUAGAGAAUCUGCCUGCAAUGCAGGAGACCCAGGUUCAAUUCCUGG
rnacentral:tRNA from 1 species